GUAGGUGGCAAGCGUUGUCCGGAAUUAUUGGGCGUAAAGCGCGCGCAGGCGGUUCUUUAAGUCUGAUGUGAAAGCCCACGGCUCAACCGUGGAGGGUCAUUGGAAACUGGAGAACUUGAGUACAGAAGAGGAAAGCGGAAUUCCACGUGUAGCGGUGAAAUGCGUAGAGAUGUGGAGGAACACCCGUGGCGAAGGCGGCUUUCUGGUCUGUAGCUGACGCUGAGGCGCGAAAGCGUGGGGGAGCAAACAGGAUUAGAUACCCUGGUAGUCCACGCCGUAAACGAUGAGUGCUAAGUGUUAGGGGGUUUCCGCCCCUUAGUGCUGCAGCUAACGCAUUAAGCACUCCGCCUGGGAGUACGGCCGCAAGGCUG
rnacentral:rRNA from 1 species